rnacentral:lncRNA from 9 species
AGAUUCCACAUGGAACGCUCAUCUGGCUGUGGCAGCCUGUGACUGAAUGAGAGAAAAGUGCCCUAGAAGCUAUUCAUUACGAAUUCACUGGAAGCUCUCAAACGAGGCUGGCAGAAGCUGAAAUUGAAGUGGUCUCUGACCUAAUUUUCUUCUGCAUGAAACAUCUGCAUCAAGGCUCUCUUUGAUGUAUUCCACUUGGCUCUGUCUACGGGAUUGUAUCACAUGGCCUCCGUUGUUGCCUCCUUAUUGAAAGACAUUUCCAGCCUGUGCAAGACGCUCUGAAAAGGUCAGCCUGUUCGUUUCUUAGACGCGAGACACCACGUUAUUUUUUUUUUCCCUGCCUCUGAACUGGAAAGACAGACCUACACCUUUUCUUGCCUCCUGGAACAUAAUUAGACAUGAAGCAGCUCUAGAAGCCAGCCAGCCAGCCAGCCAGCCAGCCAGCCAGCCCAUCCUCUGCACUCUUGUGGAGACGCACAGCCCGGCUUCCCUGCCUGCCAGACUCCUGGGUCUGUUCGCAAAGCUCUGAAGGGUCCUCCUUCCUCAGCCCCACACCCUGGGGUUCUCUGUUUGCUGUUCUGUUAAUUAUGACAAGGAUACCCUCCUCCUCCAGUCCGCUUCCCCGACACAGUCUAUGACCGAAGCUGUCCCUGACAGACAGAGGGAAGGUUUGAGAAUUUUUGCGGAAAAAAAAAAAAAAAAAAACCCUCAAAACAAAAAAAAACCAACAUUUUAAUCAUUUUCACUGCAGUGAUGGUAAAGGUUCUUCAUGCGCAUUGUAACAUAAUAAUAAAUGUGCCCAUGAGGAAAGAAUGAUCAGCAGCUGGUGUCUGACAAAUUAUCUCAUUCCAGACAGGCAAACAGUCCACCGUGGGGAGAGGCUGGAGCCUGAAGAGGCAAUUUGGCUCACGAUUGGGGUUUCACCUCUCAGAUGAUGGAGGCCCGAAUGGUCCACCGCGUCUGGGCCCGGGCCUCGGAGGUUUGGCCCGGCUCUUCUGUUCUCUCAUCACCUCCCGGAGCUCCUGACAGCCAUGGAAAAGGGGAUUACUCUCUGGGCUCAGACAGCCCAUCUCCUGCCCCUCCUCCUGGGCACUCAUAUCCCGAAAGUCAUGGUGGCAGCAAACAUCUCAUGAAAUGAGGCUCUGAGAUUAGACCAUACCUACAGAGAACUGGGAACUUUUCAGCAAUUAUCCCUUGGAUGGUUAACUGAGUUGCUAAAGCCCAAAGCCUUCUGCAGCAUUGUUUUCCUCACCCCAAGUGUUUCCAUCUUUUCCUGGUGGAAUAACAAACAACAACAGAAUAGCGCUGUUGAUUACCUCGCAUCACUGUGGGAAAAAAAUUGAGGGUGUCUCUUAAAAUAGCCUUUGAGAACCAAGUUUAAGGAGCAACUAUUCCACAGCCAUGAUUUGCAUCCCUACUAUGUGCUGGGCAGUUACAGACACAGAGAAAUUAUCCUAUGUGUGAGCAUAGCUGUUGUAGGUCAGGACUCACCCAAUCCCCAGAUGAGAACUGUAUAUAGUCCCCAUUUUACAGAUGAGGAACACUAAGUAUCAGACUGACUAUAUCCUCUGCCCAAGACCUUAUAACUUUUAAGGAACAGAAGAGAAGAUUGACUGUCCCUGAUACCAUUAGAAGCUUGACUGUGAAGGUCCGAACAUUGCAUUGAUGCUGUGAAAAGCUAUCAAAUGGAAAUGUUUGUAAAGCUUGGCAACCUAUGUUGAUGAGAGUAAUUAAGAAACUGUAUAUUGGUACCUGUACCAUUGAAAAACAGAACAGAGAAACAGUAAGAUGCAGAAGUCCUUAAUGGUCAACUCAAAAGGCAGGGUUGUUCAUAAUCCUGAGGCAGGCAGCUAUGUGCUUAUGGCAAGUGUUUAUUGAUGAAGACUGGCCUCUCCCUUGAGCAUUUCUAAACCUUAGAAGGAAUAGAGAACAUCUCUUGACUGGUGUGUCACUAAAGAGAAUCCAGGAAACUUCAGUCUCUUAUGUCGUUAUCUCCCACUUGAGGGUUAAAAUCUGGCUUUUUGGGUUUCAUGCUAUAGCAG